UACGUAGGGGGCAAGCGUUGUCCGGAAUCACUGGGCGUAAAGCGCGCGUAGGCGGUUUGUUAAGUGGGAUGUGAAAUCCCCGGGCUUAACCUGGGAAUUGCAUUUCAAACUGGCCGACUAGAGUACGGUAGAGGGAGGUAGAAUUUCCUGUGUAGCGGUGAAAUGCGUAGAUAUAGGAAGGAAUACCAGUGGCGAAGGCGGCCUCCUGGAUCGAUACUGACGCUGAGGCGCGAAAGCGUGGGGAGCAAACAGG
rnacentral:rRNA from 1 species